GUUUUAUAAAGGGCUGCUCUCCUGCACAUGCUGUCUUAUCUGCCACCAUGGAAGACAUGCUUUUGCUUCUCCUUUGCCUUCUGCCAUGAUUACGAGGCCUCCCCAGACAUCCCUGCUCUCUGUAGGAUCACCUGCUGUGAGAGGAGCCAUGUGGUAAGGACAUUCAAGCAGGCUUGGAAAGCUCCACGUGGCAAAGAACGGAGGCCUUUGGCCAGCAGCCUGCAUCCAUUCUCCAGCCCUGUGGGUGAGCGCCCAGGAAGCAGGCUCCAUCCCCAGCCCAGCCUUCAGAUGACUGCAUCUUGGCCGGCAUUUGGACUGCAACUUCAUGGGAGACCCUGAAUGAAAACACCCAGCCAAAUCUCUUCCGAAUUCCUGACCCACAGAAACUGUGAAAAAGCUCCUGGUUUUUGUGGUUUUAAAUUGCUAAGUUCUGAAGUAAUUUGUACUCAGUAAUAUUUUUUAAAU
rnacentral:lncRNA from 1 species